rnacentral:ncRNA from 1 species
CUGAUAUAUAGGGUUGGUCAAUUUCAGGCCAGCCACUGUGGCCAUACCAUUGACCCAGGCCAAUAGAACUCAGCGUAAAGAGUGUUUAAGAUCUGCCCUCAAUAAAGCUAAACUCCAUUUAAGUUGUAAAAUACUUAGGCUGAAAUAAAAUAUACUACGAAAGUAGCUUUAAUAUCCUGAAGACACGACAGCUAAGAUCCAAACUGGGAUUAGAUAUCCCACUAUGCUUAGCCCUAAACUGUAAUAGUUACAUUAACAAAACCAUUAACCAGAAUACUACAAGCAAUAGCUUAAAACUCAAAGGACUUGGUGGUGUUUUAUGUCCCUCUAGAGGAGCCCGUUCUAUAAUCGAUAAACCCCAGUCUACCUCACCACCUCAUGCCCCCAGCGUAUAUACCGCCAUCUUAGCAAACUCUAAAAAGGUUAUAGAGUAAGUACAAUACACAUAAAAACGUUAGGUCAAGGUGUAGCUCAUGAGGUGGGCUACCUCACCACCUCAUGCCCCCAGCGUAUAUACCGCCAUCUUAGCAAACUCUNNNNNNNNNNAACCCCAGUCUACCUCACCACCUCAUGCCCCCAGCGUAUAUACCGCCAUCUUAGCAAACUCUAAAAAGGUUAUAGAGUAAGUACAAUACACAUAAAAACGUUAGGUCAAGGUGUAGCUCAUGAGGUGGCAAGAAAUGGGCUACAUUUUCUAUACCCAGAAAAUCUCACAACAAAUUUUAUGAAAUCUAAAGACUCAAGGAGGAUUUAGCAGUAAACCAAGAGUAGAGUGCUUGGUUGAAUAAGGCCAUGAAGCACACACACACUGCCUGUCACCUUUUCAAAUACUAUUCUAGAAAUCCCUAGUACUAAAACCUCUCUACACACGUAUAGAGGAGAUAAGUCAUAACGUGGUAAGCAUACUGCAAAGUGCACUUGGACAAACCAAAGU